rnacentral:rRNA from 1 species
UACGUAGGGGUGCGAGCGUUGUCCGGAUUUAUUGGGCGUAAAGGGCUCGUAGGCGGCCUGUCGCGUCGGGGAGUGAAAAGCCCACUGCUUAACGGUGGGUCUGCUUCCGGUACGGGCGGGCUGGAGUAUGGCAGGGGAGACUGGAAUUCCUGGUGUAGCGGUGGAAUGCGCAGAUAUCAGGAGGAACACCGGUGGCGAAGGCGGGUCUCUGGGCCUAACUGACGCUGGAGAAGCGAAAGCGUGGGGAGCGAACAGG